GACCAUGAGCUCGACGCCGGUGUUGGCGAAUGCCUUGAUGACGUCGAUGUUGGUGUCGUAGAUGCGCACGUACUUGAUGGACUGCUGCUGGAUUAGCUGCGCCACCUUGUCUGGCGCCGGAAGGUCGUCGGCGUUGCGGCCGUAGCAGACGCCAAUCUUGCCGCCGUGGCAUUGCCCUGCGAUUGCGCAUGCGCUGUUUUGAUUACCACCACCAACGCGAACGGAGCAAAUGCAGUGAUUGGGAUUUAAAGUUCUCUUCUUUUUUCUUUUUUUCUUUUUUUUUAAAUGCAUCGACCAAUCUUUGGUUCUGGGUUAUCAAUGGAAAGAACGAAUAUGUGUAUGGAUAGAUUCGAAUGGGGGCAGUGAAAUGGAACGGAACAUUCCCCAUAAAAAGAGUACUCCAUGUUUAAGAACACGCAGCAAAAAACAUCCAGACCAAAGAGCAAGAAGAGUCGAAUCGUGUACUUUUCGUCGAGCAAGCAAGGCAUCUCGCCGUCCACGCGUUGCUAACAACACUAAAACAAGCACGCAACUGAAGGAUCGUAACAUUCUCAAUAACAACAAGCCACUAGCAACUCACCGACGAGCAAUAAGAAGAGGAGCACAGGGAGCGCCAGCAUAAGCCGCCUCGCCAUUGCCGACCGAGCGCCGAACCCUGGCACCGCCGCCGCUUCUAGCCCUCGGUGUCCGCGCUUGCAGCGGCAAUGCGUCGAUGGGCUGCGCGGCGGGGGCCUCACCGUUGGGGACUGGGGAGGAGAAAGAGAGCCGGAGAGGUGAGGAUUGAGAGAGAGAGAGAGAGAUUGAGGACAAGACGUGACAGGCACGGGCGCAGCCGCUGAGCCACUGGCUGCGACGCAGGCAGAGCAGAGGCUGCUGGAUUGAAGUGCGUGACGGCUGUUGCGGGAGCGGACGCCAGCCGGUGGCUAUGAAAUGGAGCUGAGGGCGUUCAAACAAGGCCGGCUCAAGUCCGGAAAGGAACAGUGGAGAAACGGAACGACGAGGGCACAGGAAAAACGGGGGCGAGGAAUGUCUGCUGGUAGGGAAGUGGGAAGUUGUCGCAUAGGCCAGGACCACACGAACGCAAAGUGACCCACAUGUCAGUCGCUGGAGUACGCAUCGGUACAGCACUCCGUGAGAGGAGAAAGCUUUGUCGUUGUGGCUACGGCUUAGUACUGAAGUUGCGCUUUGGUCGAACAUGCUCAAUGCAGCUCUUUUGUUUCCAAAGCCAAAUUUGAAAUCUUGUUAUUUACUGACUCCGUCCUAAAAUAUAAUUUAAUUUCGACUAAAUAUACAUUCAUUAAUUAAUUUAUAAACAUAAUUUAUAUGUAUAUCUAUAUUUAUUAUCAUCACGUUCCAAUGUGAAAAAAAAGAGCUGAAAAGAAUUAUAUUUUUGUACAGAAUGAUUAUUUUAUUUUUGGGCGUCUCUAUCUAUAUGUCAUCUGAAAGUAAAAAUCUAGGACAUAGUUUUUUUUUUUAAAAAAAAUGAACUUCACUCUUCUAGCAGCAUCGUAUCGUUCACUUGUUGCAAUGUUCCAGUACAUAAACAGCUCUAUAACUCCUUCGCUGACACUAUGGCAGAAAAUGAGAAAAUAGGGACAGAUAGGAGCGUGGGCUGCGGCCCAGCAAAUUACCAAAGUGUGGUCGGGUUGGGCCUUAGCAUAGAAGCGCGAGGUCCGCAUAUGCUACCAGGCCACUAAUGUGAAGUGAUUCCGGCCCUGGCCGCCACGCCGCCUUGUUUUCCACUUUCUCUAAUCGUCUGCAGCUCUAUGAGUUUCUGAUGGAGAAAGACUCCAAAUUUCAUUUCUCUGGGUCUGAAAAGCACUGACGUCAUUAUUUUGUCUGAUGAUACUAGGGUUCCGUUUGGUUCACGAAAUAUGACGUAAAUGAUAAUCGUAAUAAUUUACACUUAAACUUAAGUAUCGACGAUAACAAAUUUGAAUAUACUGUAUCAAUUUUUAGUAUGGUAUCAAACUACGGUUGAAAUUAAAUAGACAUAAUUUAACGUUAUUAGUUAUCCAUCACGUUACAAAUAUAUGAAUCUAACGGAGUCACCUAAAUUUUGGUCGAUGCGUCCGUAUCUGAUACGAAUCGUUGUCUAUUAAAAAGUUUUACACGUCUGCGUCCUAUUCGAUUUCGAUCUCGAAGCUCACGUGUCUCUAGAGAACCAUGACCUCGAUAUAACGCAACAGCAUGUAACUAGUUUUUUUUUUAAAAAAAAAAUAAAAUAAAAAGUAGUACAAAUCCUCGUCGCUUCAUCAUCUUCUCUUCUGGCGCGCUGCAUGUGUAAGACGUAAGAGAAAGGCAGCGAGCUACAUUCGCCGUCGGCACGUCACUGGUCAUGAAGAAUCACGAUCUGGCUCCAAUCCGCCGAACUACUCCGUAUGACGACCAAAUCAUGGUCCGAAUACCCAUCCCUCCUUCUCCUUAUCCAUUCGGUUGACCAGCACAGGCAUCCAAUAAGAGAUAACAAUACAUAACGGCGGCCCAGCUCUUGCCUGCCUGCCUGCUACCUGUUCCAAUCCCAACCUCCGUCUCCCAGCAGCCGCCGGUCGGCCGCCCGCCACCUGCUGCAUCCAAUCCAAUCCAAUCCAAAUCGAUCCGCUCCAUCUGCCCAACUGAAUCGAUCUCUGCCGCCGACUGGCGAAUGGCCGUGCUCAUUGGCUGCGGAACGGGCCAGUCCGGCCCGGUAAGGUCUAUAGAUGGCCAAAAAGUACGAGGCCCGUGAGCCCGGCACGAAGCCCGCUUUUUGGGCCCGGUCCGAGCCCAGCACGGUAGAAUAAGCGGGCGGGCUUGGACAGGAAACUAAGCACGGCGGGCUAGCCCGGCACGACCCGUUUACCUCUAAGUCCGUUAAGCCCGUUUUUUUACACUUAAACGUGCUUACCGGCUUGUUUAGCCCGCUUUUUGGCCCGUUUUUUCGUGCCCGGCCCGUUUAGGCCCGCUGCGGGCCGGGCUUGGACAGAAAAUUAAGCCCGCUGGCACAGCAGACCCGGCCCGGUUCUUGGCGGGCCCGCGGCCCGGUUCUUGGCCGGGCUUCAUCGGGCCCGGGCCGGGCCGGGCGGCCCGUUUGGCCAUCUCUAAGGUCACGCUACAGAGUACAGUUGCCUGUCGGAUUGGGCCCGUCGGAUGAAGCCGCCGCCGCCGCCACUUGCCUGCGACGCUGAACGUUUCCGCAGGAGAAAUCAGGAGCUAGCUAGCUAGUUGUACCUAUUGGCCGCGUGGCGUGGACUAUGGACUCGAGCUGCGUCGCGUCGCGAUCUUUCCAUACGUUGCUUGGUUUGGAAUGGAUGCUCCGUUCGCUACUGAGCAGCAGAGGGAGGAGAGAGGUCGAGUCCGCGACGUCUCUUCGUACGUGUCGGGUAGGUUCGGACAUGCCGUGAAGGCAGCGCUCAGGAACAGAAGGGGGCGGCUCUGGCUCUGACUGUGUCGUCCGCCGCCGCCGCCGGGCGCGGGAAGCUACUCCGUAUCUAAGGGCAUGUACAGUGGUGUUUAAUGUGGGGGCUCUUAAAGUGUUUUAGGUGUUAUUUGCAAAAUAAUCUUAGAGCCGUCUCUCCGUGAAGAGACGUCUCUGGCUCGUAAACCAAGUAACAACAGACGCCUCACUUCCCACUGUACGAAUUUGUCGUCUGUUCUAUCGAUCUGAUGCUAUACAAAUACAUUUAAUUCUGUAUUUAUUAAUAGACUACGUUUAUAGACACUCCAUUGUACAAUAGAGUCUCUUAGUUGUCUCCUGUGCUUGGAGAACCGUUUUGGUGUCUCUCCACUGUACAUGCCCUAAGGACGACUCACUUGGCAUCCGAAACCACCAGCGUCUCGGACUAGAGCUCCCACGACAGUGACAGCUGAAAAUGAGAGCCCCAUAUGCUAGAGCCAUGCAUUCCACAGGUCAUCCGACGACCUAGGGCUAUAGCUAUACCGAACGUUUGGAUGCAGUCUUGUCACCCAAAAUCCUGAUCAGCGUUGUCCUAAAACGACUUGUAACCCUGGAUUUUGCUUCGUCACUGCACGCGCCGCCACUCCCCCGUGAGACGGCAGGUAGCAGGUGUCCCGACUCCCGCCCCCCCCCCCCCCCCCCCCCCCCCCCCCCCCGAGGCAUGGGUUCUUCGAGGCGCAUCCAUGAUCUCUCGUCUAUCUUUUUUUCCCUGGCAGGACGCGCGCGGCGAGCAGCGGUGAGGCGCCGAAACAGAAACACUAUCCCCAGGACAGCGACGCGGUCGGUGGCGAUCUGUGCGUGGACGAUCCUGGCCGGGGUUCACAUGACUGGCUGGCGCCUGGCGGGCACGCCUGGCCGCCACUCCAUGGCAUGCUGCCCGCGCCUGGCGUGGAGCCGGGGGAACAGCUAGUCCACCUUGUCUGGCGCCGGAAGGUCGUCGGCGUUGCGGCCGUAGCAGACGCCAAUCUUGCCGCCGUGGCAUUGCCCUGCGAUUGCGCAUGCGCUGUUUUGAUUACCACCAACGCGGACGGAGCAAAUGCAGUGAUUGGGAUUUAAAGUUCUAUUCUUCUUUUUUUUGUAAAUGCAUCGACCAAUCUUUGGUUCUGGGUUAUCGAUGGAAAGAACGAAUAUGUGUAUGGAUAGAUUCGAAUGGGGGGCAGUGAAAUGGAAUAACGGAACAUUCCCCAUAAAAAGAGUACUCCAUGUUUAAGAACACGCAGCAAAUGUUGAAUAAUUAGACAAAUUCCAAAUUAAAUUCCGAAUAUAAAUCAUGACCAAAUCAGAAGAACUGAAAUAAAAGCCAAAUCAGAUGAUGCGUACUGAUUAGACUUACUGAUUGUUGGCGCGCGCCAGGAUCAGCUGGGUCGACGAGGUCAGCAGAUCACGAGCAGUCGCGUGAAGACGCUUCCCAAAAACCUUAUUCGCCCUCUCCCGGUGCAGGAUCUAGAAGACGAAGGGUUCCGGAGACCUGCUCUCCUGAUCGCAGAUGCACCUCUGCGGUCGGGACGAAGGGAACUAAAAGGCGGCUCAGCUAUGAAGAGAGGCGAAAGUGAACUGGGAUCUGGGAUGAUAUGGAGGCUGGCUGCCGGGCUCCUUUUAUAGGGCCAAGUCCGCGACCCCCUGUGCUUAUCCGCCCACGAAAAUCUCGCAAUUGAUUGUUGAGAUUUUAUAGCGAUCGGUUAGGAUAAGCGUAACAGCCAAGAAACCAAAAAAUCAAACGGCAAAAGGUAGUCGCGCCCCCGCAAGGCGAGGGGCCGGAUUUCGGCGGACCAUUCACGCGCAUGUCGUGCGCCCGCGCCCUUCGCCCCGGCCCGGCCAGGCCAGGCCAGGCCAGGCCAGGCGAGGCGAGCGAGCGCGCGCGCGUGUGGCUCUCCACACUCUCUCCUCUCAUCCAUGACUUGGUGAGUGAGUGUGGCUUCCAUAUUUAAGCUAGCUCUACUCCACAAGAGCUAGCAAUAUGGUGCUAUUGGUUCCACCUAUCCCUUUGCCAUCCACUUAUAUGGGCUUUUGAGAUUUUCCUGGAAUUAUUAGAAAUUCU
rnacentral:lncRNA from 1 species